rnacentral:rRNA from 1 species
UACAGAGGUCUCAACCGUUGUUCGGAUUCAUUGGGCGUAAAGGGUGCGUAGGCGGCGGGGCAAGUCAGUUGUGAAAUCUCGGGGCUCAACCCCGAAACUGCACUUGAUACUGCCUUGCUCGAGUACUGGAGAGGAGACUGGAAUUUACGGUGUAGCAGUGAAAUGCGUAGAUAUCGUAAGGAAGACCAGUGGCGAAGGCGAGUCUCUGGACAGUUACUGACGCUGAGGCACGAAGGCCAGGGGAGCAAACGGG